rnacentral:rRNA from 1 species
AUUGAACGCUGGCGGCAGGCCUAACACAUGCAAGUCGAACGAGUGGCGGAUGGGUGAGUAAUGUCUGGGAAACUGCCUGAUGGAGGGGGAUAACUACUGGAAACGGUAGCUAAUACCGCAUACCAUCAGAUGUGCCCAGAUGGGAUUAGCUUGUUGGUGGGGUAACGGCUCACCAAGGCGACGAUCCCUAGCUGGUCUGAGAGGAUGACCAGCAACAAGGGAACAGAGACACGGUCCAGACGCGUACGGGAGGCAGGAGUGGGGAAAAUGGGACAAUGGGCGAAAGCCUGAUCCAGCCAUGCGGCGGGUGUGAAGAAGGUCUUCGGAUAGUAAAGCACUUUAAGUUGGGAGGCGUUACCAACAGAAGAAGCACCGGCUAACUUCGUGCAAGCAGCGCGGUAAUAC